UACGGAGGGAGCUAGCGUUGUUCGGAAUUACUGGGCGUAAAGCGCACGUAGGCGGCUUUGUAGGUUAGAGGUGAAAGCCUGGGGCUCAACUCCAGAAUUGCCUUUAAGACUGCAUCGCUUGAAUCAUGGAGAGGCGAGUGGAAUUCCGAGUGUAGAGGUGAAAUUCGUAGAUAUUCGGAAGAACACCAGUGGCGAAGGCGGCUCGCUGGACAUGUAUUGACGCUGAGGUGCGAAAGCGUGGGGAGCAAACAGG
rnacentral:rRNA from 1 species